rnacentral:lncRNA from 1 species
GUCUGCAGUCUAGAAAGCAAUCUUAUUUUCUACUGAGUAAUGCCUGCCAUGUGAGAUUUCACCUGCUAUUGCUAUUUCUACAAAAUUCAUCACGAAAAUUCUGUGUGGACUCGGGUCUCCAGUCCCAUUGCACGCCCCCUCUGCAGCGCAGCCUCUGGCCAGCCCUGGCAACGUGACCAGGAGACAAGCAGCG